GACGAACGCUGGCGGCGUGCUUAACACAUGCCAGUCGAACGGAAAGGCCCUGCUUUUGUGGGGUGCUCGAGUGGCGAACGGGUGAGUAACACGUGAGUAACCUGCCCUUGACUUUGGGAUAACUUCAGGAAACUGGGGCUAAUACCGGAUAGGAGCUCCUGCUGCAUGGUGGGGGUUGGAAAGUUUCGGCGGUUGGGGAUGGACGCGCGGCUUAUCAGCUUGUUGGUGGGGUAGUGGCUUACCAAGGCUUUGACGGGUAGCCGGCCUGAGAGGGUGACCGGCCACAUUGGGACUGAGAUGCGGCCCAGACGCCUACGGGCGGCAGCAGUGGGGAAUAUUGCACAAUGGGCGGAAGCCUGAAGCAGGAACGCCGGGUGCGAGAUGACGGCCUUCGGGGUGUAAACGGCUUUCGCCUGUGACGAAGCGUGAGUGACGGUACUGGGGAAAGAAGCACCGGCUAACUACGU
rnacentral:rRNA from 1 species